ACCACCGAGUCCCCCGAGGCCCGCCCUCAGCGUGUCUUAUUCCAUUUUGAAGUCCCUGCCAUGCGGCAACACCUCGGUCACCUCACCACGGGCAUCAAGGGAAGUAGAAGGGUCCCGUUCCGCCAGCAGGGAGCGGCAGAGUUGCUGGAUCUCAUGGAGGCAUUUCCUCAACAGAGUCUCCUUUCUCUGUGACAACUCCAGCUUGUGUCAAGGUGACACACAAAACCAGCCAGUGCAGCCCCUCAGCAGAAACACAGGCUGCGUUUAUACUCAGCCAUCAUACAACCCUGAUGGAGACACACCCCAGGUACCACUGAGACAGAUCAGCCAUGUCCGUGUGAUGAGAACAGACGGAAUUCCAGCUAUCACAGAGAGAAAGACAGGAAUGAAAGGACUGUUGUGCCAAAGCAGUGACUCCCCAAGGAUAUGCAAACAGCAUCCAGAGCGACGUCGCGAUGAGAGUGCAGAGAUGCCCUGGGUUUGAGGCUGCGCUGGACGCCCCAGGUCUGGGAUAAGGCCCAUAAGUGGAGGAAUGGUAAGGGCUGGGCGUGUGGAGGAAGGGAGUCAGAGAAACCACCCGCUACCCCACCCUCCAUGCCUGGGCGCAGUCCCUAUCCCAGAGAGUUACCUGCUAACCUUGUGGGUUGGUGUUGUACCGGAGUCCCCACGCCCAUGUGCAUCUAGCUGUGGGGGAAGGGAAGGGUCUUUGUUCCCCCUCAGACCGUGACUACCAGACCCUGAGCAUCCUCUGUGUUUCCAUCCCCAUGGUCCAUCCACUGGACCCUCACAUCUGGUCAUUGCGGGUUUGGAGCCCCGUCACCCACUCAGCGCGGGCCACCAUUGCCCUGGGACUGUGGG
rnacentral:lncRNA from 1 species